rnacentral:rRNA from 1 species
AACGAACGCUGGCGGCAGGCCUAACACAUGCAAGUCGAGCGGGCCCUUCGGGGUUAGCGGCGGACGGGUGAGUAACGCGUGGGAAUAUGCCCUUUUCUACGGAAUAGUCCUGGGAAACUGGGGGUAAUACCGUAUACGCCCUUUGGGGGAAAGAUUUAUCGGCGAAGGAUCGGCCCGCGUUGGAUUAGGUAGUUGGUGGGGUAAUGGCCUACCAAGCCGACGAUCCAUAGCUGGUUUGAGAGGAUGAUCAGCCACACUGGGACUGAGACACGGCCCAGACUCCUACGGGAGGCAGCAGUGGGGAAUCUUAGACAAUGGGGGCAACCCUGAUCUAGCCAUGCCGCGUGAGUGAUGAAGGCCUUAGGGUUGUAAAGCUCUUUCAGCUGGGAAGAUAAUGACGGUACCAGCAGAAGAAGCCCCGGCUAACUCCGUG